UCCUACGGGAGGCAGCAGUGGGGAAUAUUGCGCAAUGGGGGAAACCCUGACGCAGCGACGCCGCGUGCGGGAUGAAGGCCUUCGGGUUGUAAACCGCUUUCAGCAGGGACGAAGCGGGAGUGACGGUACCUGCAGAAGAAGCGCCGGCUAACUACGUGCCAGCAGCCGCGGUAACACGUAGGGCGCGAGCGUUGUCCGGAAUUAUUGGGCGUAAAGAGCUCGUAGGCGGCCUGUUGCGUCCGCUGUGAAAGCCCGGGGCUUAACCCCGGGUCUGCAGUGGAUACGGGCAGGCUAGAGGUAGGCAGGGGAGAAUGGAAUUCCCGGUGUAGCGGUGAAAUGCGCAGAUAUCGGGAGGAACACCGGUGGCGAAGGCGGUUCUCUGGGCCUUACCUGACGCUGAGGAGCGAAAGCGUGGGGAGCGAACAGGAUUAGAAACCCUAGUAGUCCA
rnacentral:rRNA from 1 species